GUGCUCCCCACCCCCCACCGUACACUAGCAGGGCAGCAGCUCUGAUUGUCUAACGAGCAGCAGAGCCGCCCAGCAGCAACCACAUUAGGAAGGAAUCGGAAACCAACGCUCCGCUGGCUGUCACCCCUUACCCACUUGCUGUCAGACCACAGCCUGAGGCAGCCAAACCCAUUUCCUUGGGGAUCCAGCGCAAACCAGAGAGUGUGGACAGGCCGAUGGAAGAAUGUUGGACCAGCUUUAAGAAUGGGCUGUUCUAAGUCAUGAAUAUUGUAGGAAGCAGCUCUAAGGACCACAGGGCUGGAGGGUGCACAGGAAGGGGCCAGUGCAUACAGGUGUCCAAACAGUGUCAUCCGGUGUCCUGACAUGCGGCCCCAAUGGACUGAUCCAGGGUGGAAAGGAAGAGUGAGAAGAAAUCAGACAGAAGAAUUCAGGAGAUGUGGCAACAGAGUGGAUGUAGCAGAAGGGACAUAGAGAGUGCCUAAAGAUGAGUCUUUGGUCAGCAUGUGAUGAAAAGAAUGAAGACACUGGGGAAGUGGGGAGCAGAAGCGGAUGUGGGCCCAGGAGGAAGAAGGUAUCACGGAACAGUCUCCACUCCAGGUUAUGGAUCCACUGUUGGGCAGU
rnacentral:lncRNA from 1 species